rnacentral:rRNA from 1 species
GACGAACGCUGGCGGCGUGCCUAAUACAUGCAAGUAGAACGCUGAAGGAGGAGCUUGCUUCUCUGGAUGAGUUGCGAACGGGUGAGUAACGCGUAGGUAACCUGCCUGGUAGCGGGGGAUAACUAUUGGAAACGAUAGCUAAUACCGCAUAAUAGUAGAUGUUGCAUGACAUUUGCUUAAAAGGUGCAAUUGCAUCACUACCAGAUGGACCUGCGUUGUAUUAGCUAGUUGGUGAGGUAACGGCUCACCAAGGCAACGAUACAUAGCCGACCUGAGAGGGGGAUCGGCCACACUGGGACUGAGACACGGCCCAGACUCCUACGGGAGGCAGCAGUAGGGAAUCUUCGGCAAUGGACGGAAGUCUGACCGAGCAACGCCGCGUGAGUGAAGAAGGGUUUCGGAUCGUAAAGCUCUGUUGUAAGAGAAGAACGAGUGUGAGAGUGGAAAGUUCACACUGUGACGGUAUCUUACCAGAAAGGGACGGCUAACUACGUG